rnacentral:rRNA from 1 species
UCUUUUUGAUUUUAUUUAAAGUCAGACCUGCCCAAUGAAUAUUUAAAUGGCCGCAGUACUUUAACUGUGCAAAGGUAGCAUAAUAAUUUGUUUCUUAAUUGGAAACUAGCAUGAAUGGUCAUACGAGGGAUUAGCUUUCUUUAUCUUAUAUAAAUUAAAUUUAUUUUUCUGUUAAAAAGCAGAAAUGAUUUUAGUAGACGAUAAGACCCUUUAAAACUUCAUUUAUCGUUAGGGUAUAAUUUUUAAGCUUAUAAAUUUAUACUAUUUUGGGUAAAUUUGGUUGGGGCGACAGGUAAAUCUUUUUAACUUUAUCUUUGUAAAGCACAGAUUAGUGCCCUCUUGAUCCGAAAUCGAUUUUCGAUUAAAAGCUUAAGUUACUUAAGGGAUAACAGCGUAAUCUAACCGGAGAGUUCUUAUUGAUGGUUGGGUUUGCGACCUCGAUGUUGGAUUAAAAUUAAUAUUAGGUGUAGCCGCUUAGUGAUUAGGUCUGUUCGACCUUUAAUUUUUUACGUGAUCUG